AAAUAAAUAAAUCUUUUUUUAAAAAAUAAAAUUAAUUGAGGUCAAUGAGAUGCCUGUAGUCGGUGCCUUGAUGGAUUCUGGAUCCUGUUUGUUACCAAACUUGCUACACUUACAUGCAGAUAAGGGUGACUGGUCAUCGCCAUGAGUCCUGGGCUCUGACUUCAGAAGGCUGAUCCAUACUUGCACCCUCCUGCUCUGUGAUGCCAA